UGCUGCAUAUCUAAGCUGCUCAGAGUCCGGC
rnacentral:piRNA from 1 species